rnacentral:sRNA from 1 species
GCCAGGCCGGGUGGCGCACGCCUGUAACCCCAGUGGCUCAGGAGGCUGAGGCAGGAGGAUCACAAGUUCAAGGCCAGCCUUGGCAAUUUAGCAAGUCUUGCUAAGCAACUCAGUGAGACCCUGUCUCUA